AAUUCAAAGAAUCAAAGUUAGUCUUCGCGUCUAGCAAGUAUAAUCGAUCCUCGCUCCGCAUGCAGGAAAUAUAGGUGAAAGAGACCUAAAUCCUCUAGCUCGUGAAGGCGGUGGUAUGAUCUUCGAUCCAUUUCCUUUACGCGACGGUUUAGCGGGCAGACCAGGCUUAGGAGUUCCAGGAAGGCUACCACCGGGCGCGGUUCCACCUUACGCUAGAUUUGAUCCCUUUGGACCUCCACGUUUUCGCGAUCCAGAUGCUGAGUAUUUACGAAGGGAAGGAGAAAGAUAUUUCUCUUCUAAGAAGUUAAACAAAUAAGAAGCAAUGUUGUGUAUACAAAAAAUGGAUUAGUUAUGUAGAAAUCUUUUUUUAUUCCGGCAACACAUCAGAUAUAUAAGUGGACGUUGCUUCUUCACAAAACGACUUCCAUUCUUUUUUAUUUCAUUACUGACGUUUUACAAUAUAACAAAAUUCAUUCAAUUUAAUCAAUAUGCCAUUAAUACAGCGAUAGGUAGGAAAUUACAUUAACAAAUUAAAUAUAUAAUAAUAGUAA